rnacentral:rRNA from 1 species
AGUGAACGCUGGCGGUAGGCCUAACACAUGCAAGUCGAACGGCAGCACAGUAAGAGCUUGCUCUUACGGGUGGCGAGUGGCGGACGGGUGAGGAAUACAUCGGAAUCUACUUUUUCGUGGGGGAUAACGUAGGGAAACUUACGCUAAUACCGCAUACGACCUACGGGUGAAAGCAGGGGAUCUUCGGACCUUGCGCGAUUGAAUGAGCCGAUGUCGGAUUAGCUAGUUGGCGGGGUAAAGGCCCACCAAGGCGACGAUCCGUAGCUGGUCUGAGAGGAUGAUCAGCCACACUGGAACUGAGACACGGUCCAGACUCCUACGGGAGGCAGCAGUGGGGAAUAUUGGACAAGGGGCGCAAGCCUGAUCCAGCCAUACCGCGUGGGUGAAGAAGGCCUUCGGGUUGUAAGCCCUUUUGUUGGGAAAGAAAAGCAGCAGGUUAAUACCCCGCUGUUCUGACGGUACCCAAAGAAUAAGCACCGGCUAACUUCGU